GCAAGUCGAGCGGUAAGCUAACUUCGGUUAGCCUAGAGCGGCGGACGGGUGAGUAACGCGUAGGAAUCUACCUGGUAGUGGGGGACAACUUGUGGAAACGCAAGCUAAUACCGCAUACGCCCUAUGGGGGAAAGCGGGGGAUCUUCGGACCUCGCGCUAUUGGAUGAGCCUGCGUAAGAUUAGCUAGUUGGUGGGGUAAAAGCUCACCAAGGCGACGAUCUUUAGCUGGUCUGAGAGGAUGAUC
rnacentral:rRNA from 1 species